CGACAAAGUGCUCCUCCUGCUGUCCCAAUUGAAUUUGGAAUCUACAAAGGAUCACAGUCGUGAGAAAUAGAUUACCUGGCUAUAAUCUAUUACUUGAUCGAUCAGCAUGCAAUUGAGUAGCGAUCUCUGUUGUUGCAUAUUGUGGACACGGGUUAAGUAGGACAAGCUAGAAUAAUGACGACGUAGUAUCCCAUGGUGUCAUGGCUAUUAUGGAGGGGCUAGUGUUAUUGUGUUGUGUCAACUUCAAAUUUAUGUCGAACGUUUGUUUGAAUAAUGCUUGACUGAUGUUGGCUAAUUUGUUUUGAAAUUGGUACCUUGCAGUAUGCAAACUGUGAUUUGUUUUGAUACAAAUGAAGGCUAAUUUUCUUUU